AACUUUAUGUUUUUAUACAAAGUGUGUCCUGCUCAAUGAUUUAAUUAAAUAGCCGCGAUAUUUAUCGUGCUAAGGUAGCAUAAUAAUUUGUCUUUUAAUUGAGGUCUAGAAUGAAUGGUUAAACGAAAAAUUGACUUUUUUUGUUAAUUUAAUCUGAAUUUUAUUUUUAAUUUAAAAAGAUUAAAUUAAAUAGUUAGACGAUAAGACCCUAUAGAAUUUUAUUUUAUAUAUAUUAUGUUUACAUUGGUGUUAAUUAAUCUUAAAUAAUAUAAAUUUGGUUGGGGUGAUUGUUAUAAUUAUUUAACUAUAACUUUUGUUUUUUUCAUUAAUUUAUGAAUAAUUGAUCCUAAAUUUUGGAUUGUAAGAAUAAAUUACCUUAGGGAUAACAGCGUAAUUUUCUUGGAAAGUUCUUAUUAAUAAGGAAGUUUGCGA
rnacentral:rRNA from 1 species